rnacentral:lncRNA from 1 species
UUUGGAGAGUGAAUAUCUGGAUAAUCUCCUCUACCCUGUGGCAGUGAGAUUAAUAGAUUCCUUCAAAAUAAGGGCAAAUUUGUUUCUAGAUGUUUCCCUCGGCCUGAUCCCAGGUGAGAGAUUGAGUUAUAAAUCACAAAGAAGGGAAAAGCUGCUGAUUAUACUGUGCAAGAAAUAAGCAUUACAGGAAACAUAAGACAUGAAAAAGGAGAUGAGACUACAUUUCUGACUUCCAAGAUUGGAUUUUUACAAAAGAAAAAGAUGUUUCCAAUUUCAUCUGAGAGCAAACCAUUUGAGAUUCCUCCCUGUUUAAAUGGAUUACUAAAUAAUGUAAAAUAAAUAAAUAAAUAAAUAAAUUUGAC